CGUUCAAUUGCCUAUCCCCUCCCUGCUGCCACCCGCCCCCUCUCCCCACGUCACCACCGGCAGCGGCGGCGUGGAGUUCCGCCGCAAGCUCCACUUUCACUCGUCCGAGCUCCACCUGGACCCGUUCCCGCUCCUCGCCGCCAACCCCGUGCUCCGCUCGGCACCGCUACCGCUCCUCCGUGACUCCCUCCGCCUCCUCGCAUCCAACGGCUUUUCCGCCCGCGACACCACGCGCGUCUUCUCCGUGUUCCCAUCCUUCCUCACCUCCCCGCCCACCGAUCCCCUCUGCUUCCUCUCCGCCGAUACGCCGCUCCCGCCGCCGCUCCUCCGCGCCGUGAUGGUCCGGUCCCCGCGCCUCCUCGUCCGGUGCUUGCUCGCCGCCUGCCCGAGCUGCUCGCCUCGCUAUCGGCCUCCCGUUUCCACGCGCUUAGCCGUCGGCAGCGACGGACUCCACUCGCCAUCCGACCCCUGCGACCAUGAGAUCCAGACCCAAUCGGGGAGGCGAUCAAAGCCCAGCUACAACUCCGGUGAGAUCUCCCACCGGAGCAGUGGAUGAAGGCAGCGACAAGCCCAUCCGUACUCCCGACAGGUGGUGGUGCGGUGGUUGCCCCCUCCUCCCGUUUCCACCUAGACUCGGUGUCAUCCCCACCUCGCCAUGCGGAUUCAAGGUGCCCCCGCCCCCGCGAUGGCUCGGCGCGGAUCCAUGGCGGCCUCAUCCCCUCUCCAUGCAUGACAGCGCCCCUAGCGAGCUGCAAGCCGCACCGUGGCAGACGGCGGGUAGACUACGGGCAUGCUGCCAUGGUUGAUGGGAUUUGGGACGCCGAUCUGGGCAGAUCCUGCACGGCACGACGGUGGCUCCCUCCCUCCACGCGACGUCUAGCCUAAGCUUCCCCAACCGUGGCUCGUCCGCCUCCAUGAACGGAGCUCUAGGUUAGCUCCUGUCCCUGAUGGAGUGUACAGAUUCAAGAUUUCUGUUUUUUUCUAGUCACUCCAUCGUGGAGGUCAGCAACGAGAUCAGAAACGAGAUGUAUGUGUACUCAACUGGGACUUCAUGUUCCUGAAUUUCAUUCUCUGAAAUGCUCAACUGAAUCCGUAGUGUCCCUCCUUGGAUUCAGGUGAGGUGGUCACCAUGCUCCUCUCAUGCGUAUUCAGGAUUGUUAUGUCUUUCUCUUAUUCUGAAUUAUAGAUGUGCUAAUCAGAAAACACACUGAUGGAGAUAGAAAAAAGCUUGAUGCAGAUGUGGGUUAAUAUCCAUUUGAGAAUUAUUUCACAACCACAAUGGAGACCAGUCAUUUUACAUAAGAGUCUGUACUAUGCAGAUACAGUGUACUUACAAAAGGUUAGGGUGGACUUCAACCAGGGUUCUGUCAGAUAUCAGAGUAUAUUGUACUAAGUAGAGUUCAGGUUUCUGCCUUGCUGGGCCCAUGUGAUUUAGAAUACUUUUUUGCAUGUUGCCUUAUUUACGUCUGUCCAAUAUGUUAGAAAAGAUGUAUGUGUAAUCUAAAAGAAAGGUGUACAAUGAUCAGUGCUUACUAAAUAUAUGGGAUAAACAAGCAUGCCUUUGUUCUCAUAACAUGCAGUGGCGCUGAUUCGCUACUCUCUGCUCUUUGCUGUAUGCAGUUAAUACAUGAUUCGAGACUACUUAUUUCUCUGCUCUCAGUUUCUCUCACUCGUGUGCAGUUUGUGGACACUUUUAUUGUUGAUUCAUUCAAUACUUGAUUUCUUUGUUCUCAAUUUUAUCUCCUUCACUUGUGCGUAGUCUGGGGACACAAGGAGGAUAUUCUGCUGCACCUUCCUAUCCAGAACUUCAGAAUUCAGGUCAAUGACAUUCGGAUGUACACCGGCUGGUGCGCUAUUGAUCAGCUCACACUGGAUAUAUUCCAUUACCAGAAUAAAUGCCUCACUGAUGCCCCCAGCAAUAAGGUAUGACGUGUCAUGUCCCCUGCUUCCAUCCUCAUGAAUUUAAUUAAAUCAGGCACAAUAAGGACUUAACAGUUCGAUGCCUAGCUCAAUGAUGCUAUCCAAUGACAGUCCAACUCAAUUCUCUUCAACAAUAUAAUAUCAUCAAUGCUCCUUUUUAGUAAUACGACUGUGCAAAACUGAGUCAAUCGUUUGCAAGUAUUGACAGGAUACAUAGCCUGGGACUAGAUUAAGUGAACUAUCUUUGAUGUCUCGCUGAUUUCUGGAAUGUACUGUGGGGUUGCUGCUGCUUCUGUAGCUGGAAACGAUGGCCACAUGCUCGAGCAGUUAAUGUACAAUGGUGUGUUUGUGACACGUCAUUAUGACAAUGGAUAGAGGUUGAUGAAUUAAACCAAGAAGUGGGAAAACUUGCUGGUGUUUUCCUCAAGCAGUUAGCAGUCCAAGAUUUAGUGACAGCAGGGAGCAACCAGUUUCGUUUUGUUCUUAGGGCUGAUAAUAGUCCAGCAACCCGUUCAGAUUGUCAACACUGCGGUACAGUGACAGCUGGAGAUGCACCAUAGUGUCACUACGGUGCUGAAGUACCUAGUAGUUAUUUACGUGCAUAGGCGGUGUGAGGAGUGCAUCCCUGCACUCGAAUUUCUGAUUUUGUUGUAAUUAUGAGUGCACACAUUCGAUUCUGAUUUUGUUGUAAUUAUGAGUGCACACAUUCGACUUUCUAGGUGUAGAGGUUAUGAUCUUUUCUAAUUUGCAGGAUAGUGUGGUAUGUACUCAUUUCAACUCAUUCUGACGAGGUCAACAUGAAGUUUGAGUUUGCAAUGUUUUUGCAAUGACAAAUG